rnacentral:snRNA from 1 species
GUGCUCGCUUCGGCAGCACAUAUACUAUAAUUGGAACGAUACAGAGAACAUUAGCAUGGCCCCUGCUCAAAGAUGACACGCAAAUUCAUGAAGCGUUCCAUAUUUUA